rnacentral:lncRNA from 1 species
CGGGGAAGGCGCCGGUGGGAGGCAAGGCACGGAUGGACUUUACCUGCGCACGCGUCGCAGCCAUCUCCGCGCACAGUGGUGGCCACCGCGACUGGUGCUGAAGUGUUGGCGCGUGCCGGGCGCUCCGCUGGGACCCGGGUUGCUGGCCCUGAGUCUCAGCUUUCUCAUCUGUACGGUUGGGACAAGUACAGUAACCCUCGCCCGUCAAGACGGGCCAGGGCUGUGGCGAGGGUCCACGCCUUAGAGCAGGCAGGAGUAGGGCUGAUUGGAGCCAUUGUACAGUGUCGGGAACAUACCAGGACACUGAGAAUAGUGUCAUGUCAUAAGGACCCAGAGCAGAUGGACCCUGCUGUGAUGCACAAAGAGGACCACGCAAGAUAUGAUAAAGAUCUACAUCACUGAAUUUUGGUUCCAUUUUUGUAUCUCAGCUUCCAGGAAAUAAAAAAGAAUUCUAACAUU